ACUCCAGAAGGUUCUGUGAGUUUUGGUUCCAUUCAAUUCUGAGUUUGUUCCACAGACUCACGAAGGUUCUGUGAGUUCUGGUUCUGUUUAAUUCUGAAUUUGCUCAAUGAACUCCAGAAGGUUCUGUAUGUUCUGAUUCCGUUUUAUUCAGAGUUUUUCCCCCACAAACUCAUGAAGGUUCUGUGUGUUCUCAUUCCAUGUAACUCUGAGUUUGUUCCAAAGACUCAUGAAGGUUCUGUGAGUUCUGGUUCUGUUUAAUUCUGAAGUUGCUCAAUGAACUCCAGAAGGUUCUGCAUGUUCUGGUUCUGUUUUAUUCAGAGUUUUUCCCCCACAAACUCAUGAAGGUUCUGUGUGUUCUCAUUCCAUGUAACUCUGAGUUUGUUCCACAGACUCAUGAAGGUUCUGUGAGUUCUGGUUCUGUUUAAUUCUGAGUUUGCUUAUGAACUCCAGAAGGUUCUGUAUGUUCUGAUUCCGUUUUAUUCAGAGUUUUUCCCCCACAAACUCAUGAAGGUUCUGUGGGCUCUCAUUCCAUGUAACUCUGAGUUUAUUCCACAGACUCAUGAAUAUUCGGUGAGUUCUGGUUCUGUUUAAUUCUGAGUUUGCUCAGUGGACUCCAGAAGUUUCUGUGUGUUAUGGUUCCAUUUAAUUCAGAGUGUGAUCUGUGGAUUCCAGAAGGAACUUUAAGUUCUGGUUCUGCUUAACCCAGCAUUAGCAUUUUAAUAACUGAGGAAAAUAGGAAAGGGAAAAUGUUAGCAUGUUACUUGUAUUGCUUUUUAGGUAGCGUGGUGUUGACGAAGUACAAACCAAUGAUGAUGACAUUCAAGCCUCUUUAGGGAAAGAGCAAGUCUCAGCUCUGCUCCUUUCUCCUUCCUCACAGUCCUACAUUCACUGACACUCUACAGGGACUGCAGAGUCCAAAUCCAGACUCUUUAGCCAGGGAUGCAAAGCCUUCUGUGAUUUAGCCCCUACCCGCCCAUUCAUCUUAAGUCACCACUCUUUUCCUAACCAAAGUCUGAGCUUCAGUUGUAUUUAUUUACUCAUUAUUUCAUGAACUCCUUUUUAAAGAUAAGACUUUGACUUGAAAUAACUUCAGAUUUUACAGAAAAGCUGUAAAGAUAGUAGAGGUCCUAUAUAUGGUUUGCCCUUUGAAUCCUUGAGUUUUGCAACCAUGGAUGCAACCAACCGUGGAUGGAAUUAAUUCCAAAAAACUUCCCAAAAGCAAACCUUGAAUUUGCUGCAAGCUAGCAACUUCUUACAUAGUACUUCCAUUGGAUUAGGCAUUAUAAGUAACCUAGAGAUGAUUUAAAGUAUACAGUAGGAUAUGUGAAGGACAUAUGCAAGUAUUAUAUCAUUUUGUAUAAGGGACUUGAGCAUCCAAAGGUUUAGGUAUCCACAGGGGUCCUGGGAUACCGAUGGAUGACUCUACUCCUGGUUUCCCUUAAUGUUAACAUAUUAUUAUGGUCCAUUUUUCCAAAUUAAGAAAACAUUAAUAUAUUACUCUUAACUAAACACCAGUUCUGCAGCUACUGUCCUUUGGCCAUCCCAGGAUGCCAUCCAGGACACCAUGUUCAUCUAGACGAGGUACAUUUUUUGUUUCUUAGCCCCUGCUCAUCACGUGUUCCCUUCCCCAGGAUACUCUUUUCUCUCCUGACUUAAGUGCUACCUAUUCUUCAAGUCCAUUCAAAUCUUAUCUCUGCACUAACUUUCCUAAUUCCUUCUGUCCACAAUGAUUUCUCUAACCUUCAAACUCCAGAACCACUUUGGUCCAGAUCACAUAUUUGGAAUGUGGUGUUGACUGACCUGUAUUAUUACAUCUGUUGUUCUGUUUUGUUUACCAAUUAGCAUAUAAGGCAAGGGUAAUAUCAUGUUCAUUUUCUGACACAUCUGCAGGCAUUGUGUUCUCAAAAGCAUUUAUUGGUAAUGAAUUGUGGUAUUCAUGUUAUUUAUUUUAUUUCACCAUUAGCAUAAAUAAUUGGGAGUCGGCUGUAAAUAUUAAUUGAAUUUUUAGUGGCCCAAGGUUACUACAUUUAUAUUUUAUGAUAUAAUAGAUAAUAAAUGCAACUCAAUGAGUAAAAAUAGCUAAUAUUUAUUGAGUACUGACCAUACCCCAGGCACCCAACUAAAUGUUUUAUAUGCAGCGUCACAGUUAAUUCUCAUCAAAUUUUACAUGGCAAAUACUACAGUUAUUCCUGUUUAAGGUUAAGUGAUUUGCCAAGGCCUGCGCAACCUAAAGAGAUGGAGGCAAAAUUCACACUCGGACAUUCUGGCUCCAGAGCAUGCACUCCUAACCACUUCACCGUAAAGUGCUUUUUGUCCUAGCAAUGAUUUCAGUUGAGUGGUUUAUUUUUUAUGCUUUUUUUUUUUUAAACCCAUCAUUCAGUCUUUCCUUAACUUCUAAAACCUGGUUUACUUUUUUUCUUAUCGGUCCCAAUGACCUUAAAAUUUCUGCCAUGAUGUUUCUACUUUGUACACUGGGUUGGAACUUAAAAGCUAUUUUGCAUUAUGUCCCAUCUCCACACUCUGAGGGCGCAGACUUUGCAUCUUUGGGUCCGGUACUAAACUCUGAACAUCAUAAAUGCCGCACCAACUAUUUGUUUUUCCUCUUUGUGACAAUAGUUUUGAAAGUCUUAAAAAUUUUAAAUUAUAAAGGAAUGUCCAUUUGAAAUUCUGAAGUAUAAAUACAUAGACUAAUAAGUGAGAAACCUUUUCUUCUUCCCUAUUUCUCAGCGAUAGAUUGUUUAACAUUGUGGCCUUAAUACAGUUCAUUAAAAAUUAUGAAUAUUUUGGAAGGUCCCUUAUUGUGCACUGGGUUAGGGAUCUGGCAUUGCUGCAGCCAUGGUGAAGGUCACAACUGUGGCUCAGGUUCGAUCCCUGGCUCUGGAACUUCCACAUGCUGUGGGUGCAGCCAAAAAAAUUAUGAAUAAUUUUAAUUAUAAAUACAAACUCAUGACGUAAAAAUUGAUAGCUUUCCAGUGAUACAGAAGAAUAUGCAAAAAUCUUCCAAGGUUCUAAUUUUCAGAGGAAACUGUUCUUAAAAGCUUACUAUUAUAAAAGCUCCAGAUGUUUUCUAUACCUGGAAGCCUUUUGUAAUUCUGUUUUUGUUUUUGGCAGGAAGAAAAUCCUGACAUGUGCUGUCACCCUGAUCUCCCCCAGACCAGCUGUCCCUAAGAAUUUUGCUACUUUUGACACCGUCACAUAUUCUUUUUUUCCUUGCCACUCAUUUUCUAAACACGAGUCAAUCAAUCCUUUUCCUCUUUUUCAGACUACUUUCUGACUCCAGUGAAUGAGUUUAUCUGGGACCUCUGGUUUUUCUCUGAGUAUCUUCAUCCCUAGAGAGUUUCUCCAUUCCUGAUCAGGCUACCAUCUUUUCUCACACGGUUCUCUUGCUGCCAAACUUCUUUUUAGACUUUCUCAACCCACAGUCAUUCCUCAGCCCCUUGUGAUCUGAUUUACAUAUGCCACUCCAAUAAAACUAUGUUUGAAAUUUCCUUAAUCACAGAAAAUCUCUACCACCACACUCCCCCCCCCCAAUGGGUUUCUGGGGGCCAUUGACUCUCUUUUCUGUGAGAAGUGCUCCCUUUCAGGCUUCUGAGCCAUUGCAAAAUCCAAGUUCUUCCUCUGCUUUUAGGACCUGAGCUUCCCCUACUGUAAUACGGCCACUCUGGGUCUUUUGUUCCUGAUCUCUGUCUCUCCUAGUGUCCCCCUGGGGGACGUCUUCACAAUCCCAACACCACUCAACAUGCGCUAACCACGUCUAACAUGAACUAACCUCUCUCGAAUUCCAGUUCCACAUCUCCCACUCCCUGCUCAUCAGAUUCACAAUUUACCUCAAGGCCAACCUAUCACAGCUUAAACACACCACCUAAAAACACACCCUCUUUCCCGUGUCCUUAUUCCUGUUCAUGAUAUUCCCACUUUCUUGGUCAACAAAGGAACAUGUUGGUCUUCAUCCUCUCUAGUACCCUUUGAGUUCCAUCAAUCACCUCACCCAGGAAUUCCACUGCUGUAUCUUUUGCCUGCUGCUUCUUCCUAGUCCCACCAUCUCACUGUUUCUUAACUGCAUUUUUAGGGCCUCCUGAUUGUGUUAUCUUCAUCCCCGCCCACUUCAUUGUCCAUUUACCCACAAAUAGGUCAGGUAAGUCUUCCCUGAAACCUUUCCCUAACCUUCCACUUCCCUGCCCCAAACUCUUCAGUGACAAGCCACUACCUGUGAAUGAAAAAAUUCUUCAGCAUAGUUUUAGAUGUCCUCCUAACAGCGAUUUGCAGACUUUUUGUUUUAGGAUCCUUCUUCACUCUUAAAAAAUUCUUGAGCUUCAAAGAGUUUCAUCUAUCACUGUUUCCUAUAUUGGAAGUUAAGACUGAAGAAAAUUUAAAAAUAUUUACAUAUGUAUUUAAAAGUAACAAUAACAAACAUAUUAACAUAAAUACCACAUUUUGUUGAAGCAAUAACUUUUUGGGAAAAAAAGUAGGAGUGGCAUUGUUUCACAUUUUUGUAAACUCUCGAGAGUGUCAGACUUAAUAGGAUUUAAUAGAAGACAGCUGUAUUCUCUUAUCUGCUUCUGCAUUCCAUCUGUUGUGAUAUCAUAGGUCAUGUGGCCUCUGGAAAAUUCCAUUGUGUAUUUAAAAAGAGAGUGAACAGGAAAAUAACAUCUCAGUAUGAAUGGGGAAUAGCUUUGACCUCAUGGACCUUUGACGGUGUCCCAGGUCCCCCGACCACAUACUGAGAACCACGCUAUCUCUGCCUUCUCCCUCACGUCUCCUCCAACCUUCACGCUCCAGUUAAACUAUGCUUUACCUAUGAACGUAUUCACAUUUUUGUGGCUCUUCUUCAAAGAAGGAUUUUGGUCAAACCAUUGUAUUUAUUCAUUGGCAGGACCCUGUGGUUUGCCAGGGAACAGGGAUUUGGUGGGGAAAAAAUCCCUCCGAUUACUAGAAAAUACUCUUAAGUGGAAAUCAGGGAACUUACAUGCUCAUGACAGUUCUGUAACUAAGAUUUUCUGUCACCUCGGACAAGUCACUUAACUUGGUUUGUGCCUUGGUUCUCAGUUCUUGUCUGCGUAAACAAAGAAAAUAGAUAAGAUGAUCUCUGGGAGUAGUUCCAAGUCUAAAAUCAUCAGCGAUUUGAAAUUAAAUCACCUGCAGUCUAUUCUGAAGAAGUGGGAAACACCUGCCAUUUCCAGUCUUCUGUAUACACCCCUGACAUCAGUUUACUACAAACUGCUGUCUUUUUCUGAAUGCAUAAAAAGAUCAGGUUCUCAGAGUUCCUGUUGUGCAGUGGAAAUGAAUCCAACCAGUAGCCAUGAGGUUGUGGGUUCCACCUCUGGCCUCGCUCAGUGGGUUGAGGCUCCGGCACUGCUGUGAGCUAUACUGUAGGUCGCAGACGUGGCUCGGAUCCUGCGUUGCUGUGGCUGUGGUGUAGACCGGCGGCCACAGCUCUGAUUGGACUCCUAGCCUGGGAAC
rnacentral:lncRNA from 1 species